CAAUGACUUCUCUCGCCAUGAGCGAGGCGAGAGGGAGUGUCAGACUCUUACUGACUAAAAACCACCCGUUCCUACUCCUGCUUUUCGAGCCGGAGCCCCGGUAAACCCGCUAGGUAUUCCGCAACUCCCCAGGGAUGUGCCGUAACAGGCGUUGCACCAUAGGGGCUCCGGAGCAGGUCUAAUAAGAGGACUCGGUGCCCCUUAUCGGUGCUGAAGGUGGCCACCGGGGUGGUUUUAGUGAGGUAAAAAUUCCACACUCCCUAGUCUUUCUCCCCAAAAAGCUAGGCGCAUUUUGAAGGUAUCCCCCCGUCAUCAAAAAAAAAAAGGUAUUUCGCAGCUCCGGAUCAGGUAUCAACCCUACUGGGUGGCCUAUCUGUGGUGGUCUGAUGGCUUUUUGAGGCGCGCGCGGAACAACGCGCCUGAGGAGCCCUUGCACAAUUUUCCUUCCCAUUGUACAAAUGAAUCAUAUUUACUUGAUUUCAUUUAAAUCGAGUUAACUAAUAAAAUAAUAGUCACUAAACAAGUUAUUGUCAUCACAAGCGGUUGUGUUAACUGGCCCAGCCAUGAAGAUCAUUUGUUUUUUAUACAUUGUAAUACUAUAUUUAACAAUUUGUGCAGCAUAUUACAAUAAAAGGCAUAAACACAUCAGUAGGAAGUCUUGGAAAGAGAUAUACUGCAGCUACCAUCCAGAAAUGUGCUCAUAUAAUACAAGAGGAUCUUUGUUCCUACAUUAUUAAGGAUGCUUUUCCAACAGAGAUGUGUAGCUAUGCUGCGAGGAUGUAAUAGCUAAGCUGUGAAACUAUAUAACCGUUGGCACUGAUACUAAGCUAUGUAACUGUGCGGGGAAGAUGUGCUAUGAAGAUGCAAAGUAGCUGUUGUAGGUACUCUACUCUGCGUACCUACAUAGUUAUGUAGGUACGCAGAGUAGAGUGGUCUAACUGCAGCUACUUUGCAUCUUCAUAGCACACAUCCAAAGAACACAUCUAUAACGCACAUCCAUAGCACGCAUCCAUAGCACAAAUCCAUAGCACACAUCCAAAGAACACAUCUAUACCGCACAUCCAUAGCACACAUCCAUAAAACACAUCUAUACCGCACAUCCAUAGCACGCAUCCAUAGCACGCAUCUAUAGCACACAUCCAUAGAACACAUCUUUAGCACACAUCCAUAGAACACAUCUAUAGCGCACAUCCAUAGCACGCAUCCAUAAAACACAUAUAUAGAACAUAUCUUUAGCACACAUCCAUAGCACACAUCUUUAGCACACAUCCAUAGAACACAUCCAUAUAAAAACAUAUCUUAGAUAAAUCCGUUUCCACCAGGGCUUUAGAGUUGUAUUAGGGGGUUUUUCCUCCAGGGAUGUGCUAUGAUAUUAUAUGAUAUUACUGUGGAUGCGUUUGGCAUUAAAUAAACAUAUUAUACGUUAAAUUAAA